rnacentral:rRNA from 1 species
UACGGAGGAUGCAAGCGUUAUCCGGAAUGAUUGGGCGUAAAGCGUCCGCAGGUGGCUGUGUAAGUCUGCUGUUAAAGAGUCAUGCUCAACAUGAUAAGAGCAGUGGAAACUACACGGCUAGAGUGCGUUCGGGGCAGAGGGAAUUCCUGGUGUAGCGGUGAAAUGCGCAGAUAUCAGGAGGAACACCGGUGGCGAAGGCGGGUCUCUGGGCCGUAACUGACGCUGAGGAGCGAAAGCGUGGGGAGCGAACAGG